GUGCUUUUCCCACGUAACCACAGAGCAAUGGGAAUUAGUUUGAAGGAGUUGUUUUGUUCCUAUCAAUAUGGAUGCAGUGGCCAGAAUGCCCAACACAUAGACCAUGCCCAGGCACUUGCUCCUAACCCAAAACCUUACUUGCUCUGCAUGUGGGGAAAUGUGAGGUUCACCCUCAGCUGCUUCUGUAUGAUACCCUACGUUGCCCCACAAAGUGUUCUUAAUCUGAGUGAAACAUUUUGCAGCCAUGUAAGGUUUUUCAAGGUAACCUGCCUUACUAGUGCAUGAAAAAUUCUUCUUUACUGUUUCAUGGAAGCCAGUGUAUUUUCAGACAUGACCACAUACAUUUGUAUUAAAUCAAAUUUGCUGAGUGUGUCUGUAUGUGGGCUAACAAAAAUGAAUGCUCUAGCUGUAGGCACUGCAGGGACCUGUUAGACUAAAUUUCAUUCCUAAAUCUUUCUGUAUUUAAAAAUUAAUUUCGUUACUUGCACUCUGCCAAUUAAUUCUUAUUUUAUUUAUUUACUUAUUUUCUCAAUAUCUUCCAAACGAAACAUUAAGUGACCCAUUUUAAUGAAGGAGUUUAUUCUUAGUUUUAAGUGUCAUGUGAAAGUCCCUCAAGUGGUGUCGUGGGUUUCUGUGGCUGGUUUUUUUUUCUCAGCGUGGGGGCUACAUGGGGUGAUUUCUGUUAGAAGCUGCUAGAAGUUCCCCCCUUGUGGAGCCAAUGACAGUUGGCUACAGGAGGGACUUCCUGAUGUUUGGCCAAGGGAGAGCCAAUUGUUGCACCUCUGUCAUAACAACUUUAAGAAAAAAAGUUGCACAGAAGAAACUGGAGCCAGAAGGGUUGCAGAGGGAAGCCGCCAGGCCUGGGGCUGGGCCCCGCAGCCCCAGCCUGGGGCAGGCACAACAGGUGCUGUGGUCGGGCUGGGGCGGUCCCCCGCUGCCUCCCCGGCUGUGGUGGGGGUAGCAGCCAUGGCCCGGGGCGCGGCAGCUGGCCAGAGGCAGGCACAGCGCUGGAGCUGAGUCAGGCCAGCCCCGCCGGCAGGCACUGCCCUCCUCACCCCCCCUCAUCCUGACCGAGCCCGGACGGUCCAGGGGCAGCCCCACCGUAUUGCAGCUGAGUCCAUGAUGGAACAAGUGGAUGCAUGAAAAUGAAGGAGGACUGCUACCCUCGUGGGAGGUUCAGGAGAGAGUGGGGUCCUUCGGAAGAUCUGUGGCCUGUGGAGAGGGCAGCCCAUGCUGGAGCAAUUUUUUCCAGCUCUUAGCGAUUUUCUUGGAUGCCUAGAUUCCAGCCAAGGUCAACCCGCAACAAGUGGAAAUUAUUACUCAGAAAGCUAAUGGAAGUGAUCAAACAUACAAGCUUUGGCAAGGAUAGGCCCUCAGACUGCUGUGGAAGUCUUCUGUGGAAAAAGUUAGUGAGUGCAGGGAACUGGAGCAGAGGAAGUGACAGGCGGAGCUGAAAGUCCGUGCACCCGUCCGCACAUGUCCACGCUGCAGCUGGAGUCACCAGGAUGGAGGGAGGUUCAAGGUCGCUACUGACAUUCAGCUGUCAUGGCUUCAUUGUGUGCAUGCCUCCCCUUCUUUGACAUGUUCAAGAGUACUUUUUCGACACCACAAAGAGCUAGUCAACUGAUACCAUUGCACUCACCCCAGACCUAAAUCUUCUACUGAUAAAAUCAGCGAGACCUACACCACUGGUGGUUGAAGAAGUACAACAAAGACAUAUUUCUUGGAUAAAAUACAUCAAGCAAAGGUUCUUCUUGUGAAGAGGCUGGAUUUAAAGGCUGGUUGAUGCAUCAUUUGUUUGAACAGAUUGACUUGCCUCCUCACAAUGCAACUCAUUUGCACUCCUGUACAUCUUAAAUAAGGAGUAAACAUCAUAAUGUAUCACAAAUUCUUCACAUGAGGUCACUCAUGAAUAAAGGAAGUGUUUAACUGUGGCAAUAUUACAAAAAUAAUGUUGCCUUCUGUGAAUGAAUGACAGGGAAAAUUUCUGUAUCCAAUAGUUAAGUACAGUUCUGGUGGUCUGACACACUGGUAGAAGUCAUAUCAGAAGUCAAGUAUUCUAAUUUCCUCUCCAUUUUUUGACCAAAAAGUCUACAUCUCACCUUAAAUGUAGUACUGAUUAUUUUAAUUUUUGUUAUAGCCUGUUAAGUACACCAAAUCAUACUUAUGCAUUCUUGGAGGAAGGUUAAUUAAUUAACAGUAGUAAAAAUCAACCUUCUGAAACUCAAACUGCAAUUAGUCCAGGUUAUAACAUAUUUUGCAGCUAUAAUAAAUGUAUUUUUUGUUCAAAAGGAGACAUUUUAAUUACAUUAUCUGAUUCUUUAGAUAAAUGGAAAUAAUUUUAAGACAUAAAAGGCUUGCUGGAAUAAUUUAAUUUUACCUUUCAAAAACACAGAGCCAAACCAAGCAGUUUACAAAGGAGAAAUUUUGAUAAUGUUUUGUUCUUGCAGAUUAAAAAAGAAAAAAAAGAAAGAAACUGGGAGGUGAAGGAAGAGGGAGGGAAGAGACGAAGGGGGUCUCUUCCCCCUUCAGGGGAGAGAAGAGAUGAAGGAGCAACUUGCUAUUCUAAAUACUCUCUGGUGUAACUUUUAAUCUAGAAUGAGAAUUAGUUGAUGAAUUUACCUAGUAAUUAGCAAAAUAUAUAAUCAAGACAAUAGAUUCUUAUUUAUUGUGAAACCUAAGAAUCCAAGAGCGUAUCUUAACAGUGUAUAGUCAAGUAGUGUGCAACUGACUUGCUUUGUCUUAACAUUUUUAGAAGUACCUAAUAAGGGAAAAUAAGAAAGCUUGUGCUAAUAGCUAAGUUGAUGUAAAAAUAAAGUAAUAUUUAUCCUCUAGAAGUAACAAUUAAAUUAAGUGGCCUAUGAUGUUCUUAGCAAUGAACACAACCAGCUCAGCCUGGUAAGAACAGGCAGCUUGCAGUACCUCAACACAGGCUCAAAAUGAACUUAUUUUUAACAGUUGCAAAAAUUGCCAUUUGUAAAUGGGUUUUAGUUCUUUUCAGUAUUCCUGUAGCAGACAACUGUGCUGGCAUCUUGAAGGUUUUGGGGUUGUUUAUUGUUGGCUUGUUGCUGAUGGUUAGCAGAAGAGACACUUUCAGGUUCUGUAUGAGGAACCUCAGGCUCUCUUUUAGGCAGUUAAGCCUAACAGAAUUAAGCCUGACAUGUUUCAACUCUACUACUUCGUAGAAUAAACAUAUAACAAUGGUUUAGAUUUCUAGUAAAACUCUUGAACCAUGUGAGACUCAAACUUUCCCAGUUCCUUUACACAUCUGUAAAUAAAGACCAUAAAAGAAGAACACAACAGGAUAAAUCAACACGAAUUUGAAAUCCACUGCAGCAUAUUAAAUUGUGAGGUCUCUCUGAGAAAAAGGGCAACCCGGCAGCUUCUUGCAGUUUGAAGCUAAUUGUUUUCGUCAGGAUGGGAAUGUCUGGAAGUCCACAGCAGUGUCCCACCAGCAAGGCUUCAGUAACUGAGCUGGCUUGUGGAGAAUGAGCCCACUUUGUAGCAACACAGCAGGCUCAGACACCACCUAUUCUGCUCUCCAAACUGUCAUGCAUAACAACUUCAUUGUGCUAAAUUGAACUUGAAAGCAACCAAAGGCUAUGAGAAGGAGAGGCUAUGAGAAAAGCAUGCUGUCAGCACAGGCAAAAGCUGACCUGGAAAGUAAGCUCAGAGACAGGAGAAUAAAAGACCAGGGCCCAUGAACACAGCAUAUUGUUUCAUUUUAAAGUAUGAUUACCAUACUAGCAAAAGUACCAAAUGUGAUGUAAAUUUAUUUAAAUAGAUUCCACAGCUUAAAAGUUUGCCAGCCGCUCUUAUCCAACUUUCCCAGCUCUCUGAUUCAUUACUUACAGUGGGAAUAUAAUGAUAUAUAGUCAUCAUUGUAACAGCUUCUUUGCAGAGACACAAUGAUGAUUAAUAGCUAGCAGCAAAUUUUCACAUGGGCUCUGAAGCACUGUAGAGUUAAGCAGCCAAACACUCCCAAAUCCCCCUUUUCUGUUCCACUGAAAAGUAGUCUCCUUGUAUGUUGCAGAUAUGAACAAAGCCUAUCUUAAUUCCAAUCAGCUUUUUCUCGUUCAAGGAAACUUUCUUUUUUUCAUAAUUGAUCCAUGUGCAUUUUUCUUUAGUCUUUCACUGAGUCUGAGACUUUUCUUUUUGCUGGGUAGAGGGAGGAAAUAAUUUCAGUAAUAACUGGUUUUGCUUUGUUUUUCUCUCCAAAAUAUAUUUUGAGACAUUUCUCAGUUAGUUGAGAUAAUGCACAUUAAAAAGACACGCAGAAUUGAAAAGGAAGCCUUAACUUUCUCUUCAUUGAAAGCUUAUUAACCACAAGCACUGAGGGAUGAGUUCAGAGAAAGAGCUCUAGUUGCAUAAGUCAAAGACUGGAGAGCAACAACAAUAAGCUGUCUAAAUUUUUUUUGUAUCAGUUCCCAUUCCCGUGAGAAACUUACAGCUGAAACUGGAAUAAAUUCACUUUUCCUUGCAAAAUUAUUUCAAAGAUAAGACAACUUUAAAUAGAAGCAUUUUAUCAGAUUUAUUUAGAAAUACCUAGAAAUAGUUUAUUUUUAUUUAAAUGUUUAUCCACUGAUGUGAAUUUAUUGUUUUUUCCACAAAUAUCAUUUUCAUCUUGAGAGAGAAAAAAUAUUUUUAGGACUGUUCCAGUGUUCCUUUCAUCACUUCUAGUGUGAUACACCUACACUUGGAGGCAAUAAUAUUUGAUUUACACCAGAAUAAGCAUGGGGCAGAUUGGCAGGAUGCAAUUUUAAUUUUUAUUAGGAAAAACAGUUUUAAAGAGAAAGAAAAAAAUUGUACCAGUAUUAGAAAGCUGAAAUUUACAAAGAAGGUUAGUUCUGUUGCCCCUCUGGAGGAAAUUAAAAUUCUGUAUCUCUACCCAUGUAACAAAUAUGCUGUUAAUAUCAGACUUUGCACAUUAUUGAUGUUCCACUCCUGAACUGAUGAUUUGAUCUGUCCAAUCCAGGAAAGUAUUCCUUUCCCUCCAUUUGCAUGUUAGAUAUAAUGUAGACAAGAACUGACUUUAAAAGUAGCAUAUUGUUUUGGAAUAAGUAGUGUUUGCUAAAAUCCUUUCGUAUAGCAUGUGAGAUGGAGAAGUAAAUAUAUCCAUCUCCAAUUUGCUUUUACUUGCACUUUAAGAGAACAUUGUGGUCAAGUUGUCCAUAAAUUUGGUGAGUUUAUUGUCCAGAAGAAGUUAAAAUGUUCAUCUUAACUUUGCUCACAAUAUAUUAUUUUGAAAGAAUAAAAAUAUCUGUGAAUAUUUUCAAUUGUUUUUUAUUCACAGAAAUUUUUUAUUUGUUUUGUUUCAGGGAUGAAAGUUACUAGCCAGAUGAAUGGCGUGGCAGAUUUGGUUUAUGAUUUUCAUCAAAAUUUUCUUAAGAUUACUUAGGAAAUAACACUGCAUAUCAAAGUCUCUCAAGAGAUCAAAUUUCUACUCAAUUUCUUUAUGUUGCAGCCCUUUGCAGGCCUGUCAUGUUUGCUUCUUCUGUAUGUUUCACAGAUUUUUACCCUGGUGUAAGUUAGCAGAAUUUUGUAUGAUUUAAUACACAUGACCCAGAACUUGAUUCGGGCUCAUAGGAUUUUUGUCAAGUAUUAUUAAUGCUCAGGGAAGUAAAGGUUGUGUUACAAAGCUCGAAUUCUUCUGCUCUAUCAAUGUGUGAGAUUCUCUCCCCUUAACUAAAAGAUAUACUGCUUUGAAGAAAAACUUGCAUUGUUUUCUGCAAGCAAUUUCAGUGUAGUACUUUUGACAUUUGAUUGAAAUUUCUUGGCAUUUAAUUGAAAGAGUUAAAAAUAAUUUAAAUUCUAAUAGCUAUUAGUGAAUUGUAUUGAAUAACACUUGUUUUGCAGAUAUUUAAGAGGAACUAUCACUGGAAAUAUUCCCAGGUACCUGGAAAUCUAAAGCUGCAUAUGAAUAAGGGCAGACUGUUCACUAGUUUAUGGGUCCUAAGUUCCUCAGAUGAUGUCACAAACUGUCCUAGUGUCCCUGUGAGCAGUGUUUUGUCUUUGAAACUCUAAAUUUUCUGCAAAAAAUGUAAAAUCUUGUGUAGUCUGUACACUCCCCCUUGACUAAGUUAAUUUCUUCUCCCUUUCUACCUUCAGCUAUGGCAUAUUAAUAUAAUAAAUAAAUAAACCCACACGGACCCAGCUGGUUGGGGGUUCAGCAACCAAAUCCCUUUAUUCAAAUGAGACAACAAAUGCACCUCUGAGCAACACGUGACUCCCUUGACCAAUCACCAAGAGGUACUCCAGAGCCCACAUCUGCUGGAGUACAUUUGGACUUCACAUCCCAGGAUGCCCCUCUGGCAUCCUUCCUGAAACCCGAUUCCUAUGUUCAGCCUUAUUCAAUUUUUCUGCUUUGGCAAAAUUUUAAUACAGAUACGUUAUCUAGGUUGAUCACAAGGCUGACAGCGCACAGAGAAAGAAGCUGUGGGAGUUGUUCUCCCCAGGAACCUCUUCUCUCACAUGAUUCUCCUCUUUCCUCUAUGUUUUUUUCCUAAGAUUCAGAAGAAACCCCCCCUCAUUCUAGUUCCCUGGGCAGACACCUUGACUCUUUCAUUGCCUUUUUUGACACUCUUGGAAACUCUCUUCUUCUGAGCUCAAGGACAUCAGAGGUCCAUAUCUCAGUUCCUCUUUGGCUUUGGAGCAGAACUCCAGCUCAUUGUCUUUUAGAGUUUGAUGACAGCAUAUGCACUUGGCCAAUUUCAGCAGCCUUUAGUCAACUUUCAUAAGAUCAUAGUGUUAUGUAGCAGUGUCAUACUCUCUGUGCAUUGAAGAUCUCUGAACUGAUGUGCCUACUAAAGUGGUGUAAUUCUCCUUGUAAGGGCACACAUUUAUAAGAAAGAAGGAACUUUGUAUAGUUCAGUUCUUUCUAUCUUAAAUUAAAUUUUCUCAUUCCAGGUCUAUGCAAUUGCACAUUUCCAACUUAGUCUGUUUUAUUAUCCAGUUCCAGAUCACUACUUGUUUCCUCUGUGGGUUGUUAACCUUGUGAUGAACCUAGAUUACAUAUCGGAUUAAAAUUUUGCCAAAACUGGUGAACAAAUACAUAUAAUUGUCUUGGGAAACAGCACUGUGAAUGCAUUUUCAUUACAUUUUUUGCUUAGUUUCAGCUGCAACAGCCUCUGUUGAACCAAGAAGCCCAAAAGCUGCAAAGAAAACCUAUUUCAGUUCUGUCUAAUCAGAUAUCCAGAGUACAGCUUUUUUACUUCUAAAUCUCAGCUCUGAAAAUCAUGAAAGAUAAAAAAGUCUUGCUAAGGGUUACCCUAGGAUAAGCCCUCGUCUUCCAUUUUUCCAGUUUUUAUUUUUGCCCUGGUUUCUGCAUAUUCUUUAGGUUAUCAAGAAGACCAAUAAAUCAUAGGUAUCAUUAAGAUCAUAGACAUUGAUAUCCUGUGACAUCAUGUUUCUUGAAUUAUUCUUUUGGUCCCUGAAAAUUGCUGACAAUUUCUCUUUGUUGCUCUUAAGGGUGUGUAAGAAACCGAGAUUAUAUGACCCUGGGAGAAACCUAGAAGGGGAAUUUGGCAAGAUAAAAUGCAGAUGUGGCACAUGAUGUGCUCUCAGUGGAGAAGAUGCUGGGCAGCAGUCAUUGGAGAAGAUGCGUAGAGCUUCUGGAGGACUGUCUGAGCUGUUGGUGACAACUUCUCACACUCCUUUCCUGGACCAGACAGUUUGGUACAGAGCACUUCAACAUCUAAUCCCCUUGACUCUCUCUGGGAUGAACAUCUCUGGCAAGCUGUUAGCUCAAGAUAAAAUGAAGAAGAAAAGAAGGAAGACUUAAAAGACAUCCAAAUGCUAAUGGUCUGUCUAUCCCUGUCCUGGAGUAGGCUUUAUGCCUCCAACCCCUUUUCCUAAUUCAUUGAGUAGUGCUGGUUUACCACCAGCACUGUGGUUCUUUCAAAGCCAUCCUUUUGAAUGGCACUUCCUAUUUCAGCUUUUCUUCAAACAAAACAAUUGUGUCUGAUCUCCACAACUAGAGCAAGUGCAAAUUUAGAAUGAAAGAUGAGGCAACCUGGCACACCCUCAGUUACAAACUGUCUGUGGUUUCAAAUAGCUUUUGAUAUAACUUAGAUCAGCCUGAAAAUUAUCUCAAUUACCUCUAUCUGUCCCAUAGGAACCAGUGCACUGGGUUAAGAUGAGGGCAAUAAUUACAUAUUUUGCCCUGCCUUUCCUGUCUGGUCACGAUCCAUCCGUAGCCAAUCACUCCUAUGAACAAGAAAUGGCAAAUGGUGGUGUAGCACACAAAAGCACUGCAGCGAGAUUUGUGGACGUGACUCGUUGAGUAAUAUUGUUGCUCAGUAAUGACCACAUUGCCAUAAAUGCAAUUAACAAGAACAUGACCUCACACUUUCAGAAUCCCACCAGAACAAAGAUGCAUGUAUAACUUGGGUUUUCUGGAGGAGCCUCAGCUUUUUCACAUCAGUCAACUCUGGCAGGUACUGAGGACAGAAAGUACGUCUGUCAAAAAAUCAUAGGUCCAGUUCAGGAAUCACCUGGGAAUUAAGGCUUUUUCACACAAGGAAGAGGAGAAAGAACAGAAGAUGCUGGCCUGUCAGACAUCUUUCUCUUUGAGAAGGGAAAAGAAAAUUGUGAAAUGUA